GACGAACGCUGGCGGCGUGCUUAACACAUGCAAGUGGAGCGACGAACCAGGCUUCGGCCUGGGGCAGAGCCGCGAACGGGUGAGUAACACGUGGGUAACCCACCCCGAUGACCGGGACAACCCGAGGAAACUCGGGCUAAUACCGGAUGUACUGCACUUUCAUAAGUAAGUGCAGGAAAGAUAGCUUCGGCCUUCGCAUCGGGACGGGCCCGCGGCGCAUUAGCUUGUUGGUGGGGUAACGGCCUACCAAGGCGACGAUGCGUAGCUGGUCUGAGAGGACGAUCAGCCACACUGGGACUGAGACACGGCCCAGACUCCUACGGGAGGCAGCAGUGGGGAAUCUUGCGCAAUGCGCGAAAGCGUGACGCAGCAACGCCGCGUGGGGGAAGAAGGCCUUCGGGUUGUAAACCCCUUUCAGUUGGGACGAAGCUUCCACGGUGAAUAGCCGUGUGGAGUGACGGUACCUUCACAAGAAGCCCCGGCUAACUACGUGCCAGCCGCCGCAGUAACAC
rnacentral:rRNA from 1 species